AUUGAACGCUGGCGGCAGGCCUAACACAUGCAAGUCGAGCGCGCGGCGGACGGGUGAGUAAUGUAUGGGGACUGCCCGCUAGAGGGGGAUAACUACUGGAAACGGUGGCUAAUACCGCAUACUAUCGGAUAACCCAUAUGGGAUUAGCUAGUAGGUGGGGUAAAGGCUCACCUAGGCCACGAUCUCUAGCUGGUCGGAAAGGAUGAUAAGCAACACUGUGACUGAGACACGGCCCAGACUCCUACGGAGGCAGCAGUGGGGAAUAUUGCACAAUGGGCGCAAGCCGGACGCGGACAUGCCGAGUGUAUGAAGAAGGCCUUAUGGUUGUAAAGUACUUUCAGCGGGGAGGAGUUACCCGAAGAAGAAGCACCGGCUAACUCCGUGCCAGCAGCCGCGGUAAUUC
rnacentral:rRNA from 1 species